UCACUCUCCCCUGAUUUUAUUGGCUGGAGAGAGAUGUAACUCUAGACAUCCUGUAAAUUGUGCCUUUUCCUGUAAAGAAACAGAGCUUUCUUCUGCUUUUUCUAGUAGCAAAGUGCCUUUGUUAGGGAACAGUCUUAUCAGUAGCUUUCUGCACUCCCAGCAGCAUCAACAGUCCUCAGGGCUCCACAUACAUUUCAACAAACAUUUUCUGCUGCUGCAUGAAUACACGGAAACCUUCUGGCUCCAGCAAAAGGAAAAUGUGGGUUGUGACCAACUUUUUUGCCCACAAAAAACCAGAAAUGUCGGAUAUGCCUGAUACUUCUGCCUCCAGCAAAGAAGAAGAGUGGGUUAUACCCAAUGGUUCUGGCUCUAGCAGAGAAGUGUGGUGUCCAUCCAACAUUUCUGGCUCCAGAGGAAGAGAAUCAUGGCAUACACGCGAUGUUUCUGGCAACAGAAGAAGAAAGGCACUGGAAAGACAGUGUGAGGACACUGAUCUCAGAAAGACAACUGCAGAAGGCAGCAGACAUACAUCUGACACCUCACAGCAGCCACCAGCCUGUGGAGACCAGACUUCUAACAUGAAGGAAAUGUUAGAAAUGAUGAAAGAGAUGGACAACAAAAAAACGAAGGAAAUGUUUGAAAUGAUAAAAGAGAUCGACAAUAAAAAGAUGAAGCAAGUGUUCGAAAUGAUAAAAGAGAUGGACAAUAAAAAAACACAGGAAAUGUUCACAAUGGUAAAAGAGAUGGACAACAAAAAAACAAAGGAAAUGUUUGAAAUAAUGAAAGAGAUGGACAGCAAGAACACAAAGGAAAUAAUCGAAAUGAUGAAGAAUAUGGACCAAAAAAUAACGUGAGAGUCCGGUGACCAAAAAUUGCACUGUUAAGUGUGGCCUCUGACAAUGAAAUGUAGCUGGUGCACACUAGGGCGGGUGGGACAGAAAAUGAGCCAGACACAGGGAGGGCUCUGCAUUAGCAACAAACUUUGCUCAGGCUAUACCGGGAACCCA
rnacentral:lncRNA from 1 species